rnacentral:rRNA from 1 species
AUUGAACGCUGGCGGCAUGCCUUACACAUGCAGGUCGAACGGUAACAGGUCCUCGGAUGCUGACGAGUGGCGAACGGGUGAGUAAUACAUCAGAACGUGCCUAGUAGUGGGGGAUAACUACUCGAAAGAGUGGCUAAUACCGCAUGAGAUCUACGGAUGAAAGCAGGGGAUCGCAAGACCUUGUGCUACUAGAGCGGCCGAUGGCAGAUUAGGUAGUUGGUGGGAUAAAAGAUUACCAAGCCGACGGUCUGUAGCUGGUCUGAGAGGACGAUUAGCCGCACUGGGACUGAGACACGGCCCAGACUCCUACGGGAGGCAGCAGUGGGGAAUUUUGGACAAUGGGCGCAAGCCUGAUCCAGCAAUGCCGCGUGCAGGAUGAAGGCCUUCGGGUUGUAAACUGCUUUUGUACGGAACGAAAAGCCCUGGGUUAAUACCCUGGGGUCAUGACGGUACCGUAAGAAUAAGCACCGGCUAACUACGUGCCAGCCGCCGCCGUAAUAC